rnacentral:snRNA from 1 species
UAUUACCCUUAUACCAUCUAAU